UACAGAGGGUGCAAGCGUUAAUCGGAAUUACUGGGCGUAAAGCGUGCGCAGGCGGUUUUGUAAGCCAGAUGUGAAAGCCCCGGGCUCAACCUGGGAAUGGCAUUUGGGACUGCAAGGCUGGAGUUUGGCAGAGGAGACUGGAAUUCCCGGUGUAGCAGUGAAAUGCGUAGAUAUCGGGAGGAAUACCGAUGGCGAAGGCAGGUCUCUGGGCUAUAACUGACGCUCAUGCACGAAAGCGUGGGGAGCAAACAGG
rnacentral:rRNA from 1 species